rnacentral:rRNA from 1 species
CCUCGCCUGUUUAUCAAAAACAUGUCCUUUUGUUUUUAAUUUAAGGUCUGACCUGCCCACUGAAAUUUAUUUUAAAGGGCCGCGGUAUUUUGACCGUGCAAAGGUAGCAUAAUCAUUAGUCUUUUAAUUGAAGGCUAGAAUGAAUGGUUGGACGAGGUAUUGACUGUCUCUGUACAAAUGAAAUUAGAAUUUAACUUUUAAGUGAAAAGGCUUAAAUUUUAUUAGAGGACGAGAAGACCCCAUAGAGCUUUAUAUUAACUUUAGUGUAAUUUGUUUAGUGGUUAUUUUAUUAUAUUAAAUUUAUUAUUUUGUUGGGGUGACAGGAAGAUACAAUAAACUCUUUUUAAUUAGUUAAACAUUUAUGAAUGAAUUUUUGAUCCAUUUUUAGUGAUUAUAAGUCUAAGUUACCUUGGGGAUAACAGCGUAAUCUUUUUCGAGAGUUCUUAUCGACAAAAAGGGUUGCGACCUCGAUGUUGGAUUAAGGGUAAUUUUGGGUGUAGAUGUUCAAAAUUUAGGUCUGUUCGACCUUUGAAUCCUUACAUGAUCUGAGUUCAAACCGGAGA